GUCAGAUGUAUCACUGGAGCACACUGUCAUUCUAUUAGUAAGGUGUGGCUAUUCAGCAAACGGAAAUUUCAGCAGUUACUACCAGACAGGACAAAUAGUGGGAGCACCUGAUGUGACUAGUAGUUCCCCAACGGUAUUGCCUGUCUGCUCCAAUAGUUCCCGAGUUUACCAGGUGAUAUUCCUCAUCAGUGCAUCAUGUCAGAUUACCCUAACGGUAAAUACACCGGGUCGUCCGUUUAUUGCACCCAAAGGUGCCGAGCUGAUGACAAAUGGUGGGAAUUUGGUCUAACGAGGACACGUCCUCAGUCUGUAU